CACGCAGGGACCAAGCGUUGUCCGGAUUCAUUGGGCGUAAAGAGCUCGUAGGCGGUUCGAUAAGUCGGGUGUGAAACCUCCAGGCUCAACCUGGAGACGCCACCCGAUACUGUCGUGACUAGAGUCCAGUAGGGGAGCGUGGAAUUCCUGGUGUAGCGGUGAAAUGCGCAGAUAUCAGGAGGAACACCAGCGGCGAAGGCGGCGCUCUGGGCUGGAACUGACGCUGAGGAGCGAAAGCGUGGGGAGCGAACAGG
rnacentral:rRNA from 1 species